UACGUAGGGGGCAAGCGUUGUCCGGAUUCAUUGGGCGUAAAGAGCGUGUAGGCGGCCAGGUAGGUCGGUUGUGAAAACUGGAGGCUCAACCUUCAGAGGUCGACCGAAACCAUCUGGCUAGAGUCCGGGAGAGGAGAGUGGAAUUCCCGGUGUAGCGGUGAAAUGCGCAGAUAUCGGGAGGAACACCAGUGGCGAAGGCGGCACUCUGGGCCAGUACUGACACUGAGGAGCGAAAGCGUGGGGAGCGAACAGG
rnacentral:rRNA from 1 species